AGUGAACGCUGGCGGUAGGCCUAACACAUGCAAGUCGAACGGCAGCACAGGAGAGCUUGCUCUCUGGGUGGCGAGUGGCGGACGGGUGAGGAAUACAUCGGAAUCUACUUUUUCGUGGGGGAUAACGUAGGGAAACUUACGCUAAUACCGCAUACGACCUACGGGUGAAAGCAGGGGAUCUUCGGACCUUGCGCGAUUGAAUGAGCCGAUGUCGGAUUAGCUAGUUGGCGGGGUAAAGGCCCACCAAGGCGACGAGCCGUAGCUGGUCUGAGAGGAUGAUCAGCCGCACUGGAACUGAGACACGGUCCAGACUCCUACGGGAGGCAGCAAGGGGGAAUAUUGGACAAUGGGCGCAAGCCUGAUCCAGCCAUACCGCGUGGGUGAAGAAGGCCUGCGAGUUGUAAAGACCUUUUGUUGGGAAAGAAAUCCAGCUGGCUAAUACCCGGUUGGGAUGACGGUACCCAAAGAAUAAGCACCGGCUAACUGCGUGCCAGCAGCCGCGGUAA
rnacentral:rRNA from 1 species